GAACCAAUGGUGUAGCGGUGUCAUUGUACCCUCCCAUGGUACAGACUCGGGUUCAACUCCCGGUUGGUGCA
rnacentral:tRNA from 1 species